rnacentral:tRNA from 6 species
UGGGCUAUCGCCAAGCGGUAAGGCAACAGACUUUGACUCUGUCAUUCGUUGGUUCGAAUCCAGCUAGCCCAGUCA